UGCCAGCAGCCGCGGUAAUACGAAGGGUGCAAGCAUUAAUCGGAAUUACUGGGCGUAAAGCGCGCGUAGGUGGUUUGGUAAGAUGGAUGUGAAAUCCCCGGGCUCAACCUGGGAACUGCAUCCAUAACUGCCUGACUAGAGUACGGUAGAGGGUGGUGGAAUUUCCUGUGUAGCGGUGAAAUGCGUAGAUAUAGGAAAGAACACCAGUGGCGAAGGCGACCACCUGGACUGAUACUGACACUGAGGUGCGAAAGCGUGGGGAGCAAACAGGAUUAGAUA
rnacentral:rRNA from 1 species